GAGAGUAGGCGUUGGUGGUUGCGGAUUCCCUGAUCACAGCGAGUCUGAGGAAAGUCCGGACUCCCGAAAGGCAAAACUUGCUGGGUAACGCCCAGUGCGGGUGACCGUGAGGAUAGUGCCACAGAAACAUACCGCCUGUUUGUUGUUGGUUAUUGGUUGUUGGUUGUUUGCAAAGAACUAUUAACAACGGACGAAUAACAAAUGUGGUAAGGGUGCAAAGGUGCGGUAAGAGCGCACCAGCAGCAUCGAGAGGUGCUGGCUCGGUAAACCCCGGUUGGGAGCAAGGUCAAAGGAACUACGGUUGGUCUUUUACCAGUUCCGCUUGAUAGAACCGCUUGAGGCGUUUGGUAACAAACGUCCCAGAUAGAUAACCGCCCUGCUGAGUCGCGAGAACGCGGCUAAGUGAGAACAGAACCCGGCUUAUGACUUGCUCUCUCCC
rnacentral:RNase_P_RNA from 1 species